UACUUAUGAUGACUUGUUAUUUGCUACUCUCGACUGUUGAAUGACGACAUUUAACCACCAAGAUCGCUGAUAUU